UACGAAGGGUGCAAGCGUUACUCGGAAUUACUGGGCGUAAAGCGUGCGUAGGUGGUGAGUUAAGUCUGUCGUGAAAGCCCCGGGCUCAACCUGGGAAUGGCGAUGGAUACUGGCUCGCUAGAGUGCGGUAGAGGAGAGUGGAAUUCCCGGUGUAGCAGUGAAAUGCGUAGAGAUGUGGAGGAACACCGAUGGCGAAGGCAAUCCCCUGGACCUGUACUGACGCUCAUGCACGAAAGCGUGGGGAGCAAACAGG
rnacentral:rRNA from 1 species